CGUCCCUCCAUCCCGUCUUCUCUUUGUCUGCUAAGCUUGUCUUGUCCACUUUUGGCUUCUGGCUGGCCUUCUGUUUCUCCCUCCUUUUUCAGAUAGUUCCCAGGUGCCAGGCUCUGUGCUGGCUUCCAAAGGUGCAGUUGAUGAAACCGCUAAUCACAUGUGUCUUCCAGCUAGUAAUCAAAAAAUAUUGCUAAAAUAAUCACACAGUGAUUUUAUUUCAUGUUUUUCAUGUCCUGAAAGGAGAAGUAUGAGGUAUAUUGAGAGGUGUCUUUGGGGAACUUACCCUAGGCUGUGGAGGAGGGGCUGAAAUAAGAAAGUCUCCCCUGAACUUGACAUUUAAGAUGAACCUUGAGUGCUUCUUAGUUGGCGAGAACAACAAAAACUUGAGGAGAAGCAGUUCUACUUGCCACUUCUCUGCUGUCAGGAGAUUUUUCACUUGAUGCCGAGUUUCAAGGAGAUAAAGCUGGAAAGGAAGCCUUGUUAUUAGGCAUCACAGCUGUGGAUUGAGCAGAACUUUUUGUAGGGCUGCCUUGAAGAUGACAACUUUGGAGGAACUAUGGUGACUGGCAGUGGAAAGAAUCAGGACGUGUGAAAAUCCUUAAAAAUUUAUUGACUUAAAUAACUUUGCCUAUGUUAUGAAUAAAAAGAAACCUUUGUGCAGAAAAAAAAAAAAGAAAGAAUACUGGCAUUGAGGACAA